rnacentral:sRNA from 1 species
GGUUCGAAUCCUGCACGACCCACCAAUAUACAAGGUGGUAACUGGUAGAGAACGUGAAGGAUAAUGUUGCUUUAGCAACGGCCCGAAGGGCGAGGCAAAGCCGAGUCAUCCUGCACGACCCACCA